rnacentral:rRNA from 1 species
AACAGGAUUAGAUACCCUGGUAGUCCACGCCGUAAACGAUGUCGACUUGGAGGUUGUGCCCUUGAGGCGUGGCUUCCGGAGCUAACGCGUUAAGUCGACCGCCUGGGGAGUACGGCCGCAAGGUUAAAACUCAAAUGAAUUGACGGGGGCCCGCACAAGCGGUGGAGCAUGUGGUUUAAUUCGAUGCAACGCGAAGAACCUUACCUACUCUUGACAUCCAGAGAACUUAGCAGAGAUGCUUUGGUGCCUUCGGGAACUCUGAGACAGGUGCUGCAUGGCUGUCGUCAGCUCGUGUUGUGAAAUGUUGGGUUAAGUCCCGCAACGAGCGCAACCCUUAUCCUUUGUUGCCAGCGAUUCGGUCGGGAACUCAAAGGAGACUGCCAGUGAUAAACUGGAGGAAGGUGGGGAGGACGUCAAGUCAUCAUGGCCCUUACGAGUAGGGCUACACACGUGCUACAAUGGCAUAUACAAAGAGAAGCGACCUCGCGAGAGCAAGCGGACCUCAUAAAGUAUGUCGUAGUCCGGAUUGGAGUCUGCAACUCGACUCCAUGAAGUCGGAAUCGCUAGUAAUCGUGGAUCAGAAUGCCACGGUGAAUACGUUCCCGGGCCUUGUACGCACCGCCCGUCACACCAUGGGAGCGGGUUGCAAAAGAAGUAGGUAGCUUAACCUUCGGGAGGGCGCUUACCACUUUGUGAUUCAUGACUGGGGUGAAGUCGUAACAAGGUAACC